UGCCAUGUAAGGGUUUGAUAUUGAUAGGU
rnacentral:piRNA from 1 species